UGAAGGGCUGCAACGAGCGAAAACGAAGAAUCGAUUAGUAUGAAAGGUCGGUUAAUACGUUUAGACGGUAGGAAAGAUUAAUGAAAGAUGGUCGGGCUAUCCGAAAGUCAACGUUCUCCUGCUUGGCACGUAAUAACGACAACCGUAGUAGAACAAACCGCAUCGACGUAUCGCGGCGGACGAUGGACGCCGUUAAUAGGUACUUACAGGGCGUCGCUUCUCACGAGCUCGUUGUCGCACAGGAGGAAAUGGAUAGCGAGCGGCGCACGUAUACGAUGUAUAACGUCGAAAAGGGAAGGAAGGAGGAGGCGGUGGCCAGGGGAUGAAGUUGACGAGAGGUAGCGAGGGCUGGGUACUGGCUUUGCAUAUACGGUCCGCACGUACGGGAAGCUGCGGAUCGAUGACGAGCUCGAGAAACUUUGAAGCACGUGUGUGCAGAGGGAGAGACGAGCAAACACUGUUCCACCGUCCUAGCCUACCGUGAAAUAUGAAUGAAGAGAAAUUUUCUUUCCUGUCUCUUUGUAUAACCACCGCGUUUCUUAGCUAUUUCAUUCUUCCUUGCUCGAUCUUGCUCGCUGUCUUUCUUCUUCCCUUUACCGUUACACUUUCAUACGUUCCCCUCUAUAUAUAUAUGUUCGACCGUAGUACUUCGUUCCGAAAGAGUACCGAAAGAAUACGAUCUCGGUAACUUUGAAUUCUAGAGCUCGUUUUAACCGAGCUCUCUCGUUCGAUCUCCUCUCUCUCGACAAGAAACAAAGGGAAGGAUUUUAAAGGUUGCGCUUUCUCAAAGGAAUCGGACCGAUCUUUAGUUCCUUUUUAUUACAUCAAAGAUUUCGUCUCGGUAAAACGAUCGUCAAAGACGCGCGAGAACACGAUCGAGACUCUCUCUCUCGAGGCUUCAUCUUUCGAUUUCGUCGACUCUUUAAUUUCGUUCGAUUACAUAUUUACCUUGACCUUUGACGAAUCGAUAUCCUCUUUUCUCUCUCUCUCUCUCUCUCUCUAUCUCGUUUCUUCGCCUCCCCAGCCGUUUGAAAUCCUACCUCAUUUCCGUGGGCGAUCGUUCCGGCGACUCGGGCUCCCUUUACGCCAAGUCCAGUUUUCUUUAACGAGCGAGUCGUCGGAAACGUGUCGUGCUCCGUACGGGCAAAGUAUCGAAUCGAUGUAAUCCAUCUUUUUCGAGAAACACGACCCGCGCGAGAAAUCGGGUAUAUCCGUACGUACCGUUUUUACAGACAAAAGUAUAAAUUCCAGCGUACAGUUCUGUCCGUUUUAUGUGAAACAUUUUUCUUUAGGUAUUUAAAAAUAAUUGUACGCUAAGCAGGCAGAGAACUUUUCGGUAGACUUAACAUUUAAAUGAACAAGAUUACUCGAGAGGUACAGUGCGGAAAUAUUUGUAAAACUGCGUUUAGAAUGGUCGUAUACCAUCGUAGUAUAAUGGAGUCGGAUUUACGUGUACCCGCUGACACUUUUUUUCCCUCGAAGAAUUCGAAAAAGAGAAGAGAAAAUAAAAAAAGGUACGGAGAAAGAAAUUCUCGUCGGAGUUAUUUUUCGCCUCGUGCAUUCAACUCGCGCUCGGUGUUAUGAAAUUUUGGCGGCGCGGAGAGCGAGCGAGCGCGAGAGAAACUAAAGAUUCCAUCGAUGAAAGAAGUACGCGGUAUCCCGCUAGACUCUCGUGAAUGCGUCGGGAUAUUGCCGUAAGUCGAGGAAUAUUGCGUUUCCGCGACAACCGUCUUCUUCGCCGUUCGUUUCCCUCUCUCUCCCUCGCUUUAUCGAUCAUUUCCAACACGAACGCGAACACCAACACGGGGUAGGCGUUCACGCAAAUGCGUACGUGUGCGAGAGACCGAUAGACUUCCGGGAAAGGAAAGGAGGAGAGAAAAAAAGAAACGUUUUCCCGUUUGUGCCAUCGCACAAAGGGCCUGUAACCAGCUCGAGUUCCUUUUUAAGGAACGAGACCAAGUUCUCCGUUAAAAAGAGUGCUUCACUCGCGUUAAAUAUCCCGUGAACUUUUUCGAUUCGGCGACGUCGCUUCGAAUCGAGCCGUCGAUCGAGCGUAUCUUAUUUACUCCUCGACUACGAAGAUAACGACAUUAAUCCUCCAGUUUCGUAAAGGAAGGGCUUUGCUUCUCGAGAAUGGAUAAUUUAUGUCUCAUGGCUAUCGAAAAUAUUUGCGAUAUGCAUGAAACAUGAGCGGCCAAGGUACAAAGACGUCUCGUAUACGUACGUACAUUCGAUACGUAUCGUAGGAGACGCUGCCGAGAGGAAUAUGAUUUAAGAUAUACUUUUUUAUUAGCUAGGAGACGAGCUCUUUGCUUUAUGAUAAAUAGAGGUGUCGGAGACGCGAUCUUUCAUCGGAUAGGACGAAGAACGUUCGCUCGUUGUCAUUCGAGAAAGCUCUCGGUUUUCAACGCGGGUCGUAACUUUCGCUUUGAUUCGAAGAAACCUCGAAAUCCCUCUGUAAUACUCUUGAAUGUUUGUUUUUCUUAUCUCUCGAAACGGAAGUGUCUUCUUGCCGAUUCCAGGAGGAUUCAAUUUCGCAUGUAUCACGGAAUUCGCGAAUACGAUAUUUCUUUGGUCUCGGAAGGGGGAAGAGAGAGAAAGAGAUACAUGUAUUCCCACUAGGUAUCCAAUUUUCCAUCGUACCAACGAACGUACCAAUCGACGUUUUAUUGUCGUCACAAAAAACUCGUGGCUGGAAAAACGCAAAGUGGAAACACGAAAGAAAAUCGUUAUAGGAUGUGCGCUCUGGAUGCGCCAAAGUGUUGUACCACCGUGCUACCGCGUAUAUCAUCGUUCUCUUCCUUUUGUCUCUUUGUUAUUCGUAUUUUUUCAUAAAAGGUUAACCACAUUAGCUUUCCGCAUGGAGGAUUUAUCUCGGACGGUCUUUUCCAGAAAACCAAACGAGCUACCAUCUCGAAUUCACCGCGUUAGCGAGUAUUUAGCGUUAUCUUGAAAAUCGUAGACUUUGAAGCACUCGCGCAAAUUUUAAAUCUCGUUCGGCCAAGUUUCCGGGAUAGGUCAGUUUCCCAAAGUCGCGUCCUCGGAUAAAAAUUAACGUUUUACUUUUCUCCAAGGGUUUCUCCUAAAAGCAAUAUUAUCAUAAAAUAAUACGACAGUAAAUUUGCAAACAAUUCCGCCCGCAAACUUUCAACAUAAGCCACUUGUCCUCGUUCCCCGUCCAACGAAACUUUCUAAGAGCGUCCUUCAAUAAACUCGAAACAGGUGGUAUUAAAGGGUAGCGGAACACAAAGCCUGCGUAUAAUCCUCGUAUUUUCGAGGGAAGUCAAACACGCGGUAUUUCGACUAUUUCUCCGAGUCGUCCUCGGCGAACGAUUAAAAAUCGUCGCGAGUUAAAGAGAGAAAGAAUUCCAAACUCUUGGCUAGGAUUUAGAGGAUAGCAAUAUAGGGCGGAGCGUACGAUAAUUGGCAUAAUCGUGAGAAAUUCCAGACGGUCUCUUGGUAGCCCCGUAACGAAUGUAGGUAACAACGCUCGUUGCGCGGCUAAGUAUCUUGCGUUGUAAUUCGUAAAGUCGUAGAAAGGUAAUUGAAACUGGCAAAGUCUAGUGUACGCGAGAGAACAGAGAGAGAGAGAGAGAGAGAGAGAGAGGAAAGGAAAAGGAGCAGGAGAUUUGUUGUGUGCGGGGACGUUAGGGAGGCAAUGCAGGUGCCAAUGCGGCAACCAAGUUCCGACCGAAUCCGUACACAAACAUUUAAUUCGCCCAAAUCGAUAAGCGUCGUCGGCGCCUUUGCCAUCGCCGCGACGACGAAACUUUGCAACUUUCGAAGCAGGAAUUGAAUUUCAAAUUCCUUGCAAUCGAUAUUUCGAAAACGGAUGAACGUCCUACGUUCGUCGUACGUGUCUUCGUGUACUUACUUUCGUCCAUCCUUUUCUUCUCCGUCUACCGCGUCUACGUUUCGUCUAUGUACGCGCGACGUGAUCGCAAUAAGAAAUAAAAAAGAAAAGAUUCGUCCUUUAAGCAGGUGUUGCCCCGACUUUCCAACUCGAUUCGUAACUCUUGUUCCCUGGCUUUACUCGGGAUUCGAUCUCUUCUCGGAGCUUUUCAAAGACGAGGUCGCCCGCGAAUCGCAAUGAUUUAGAUUUUUCCUAAAGUCGACGCUCCUCGUCGAGGCUCCCCUCUCCUUCGACCCUGAACACGAUCUUUUACGUUUUUUCAGCAGCGCGCGACUUCGAGCAUCCCUCUUUGGAGAUUUAUCGGAGAUUAAAAUAUAGUCGAUAGUCGCUUUUUCUCGGAUGACUUUAUUCAACGUGUCGUCGUAACGAUCGCGUUUCCGUAACGCGCCACGGAUUAUUACGGCCAGAUGUCACGCGAAAAAGUAAAUAUGUAAAUGUUUGCUUUUUCACGUAACAUCCGAGCACAGAGCGAGAGAGAAGAGUUCGGUUCGAGCAUCGUAGAGCAAAUAUAUUCUUCGUUGGCUUCUUCAUUAUCGUAGCAGGCUGCAACUCUCGCAAAAUGAACUGCUUCAUAGACCGGCGUUGCUGCAUUCGCAGUUAGCUCCGCUCUUAUGAAAGCACGACGGAUUGUUGGAUGGCUAUCGACGUAAUUCGUCUCUCGCUUCUUUACGAGCCAUCCUCUCUUUCUCCCUCCCUCCCUCUCCCUCUCUCGAUCUCAUUUUUGUAAUUUGCAAUUCAUGAGAGUGGAACGACACUUUUCUUUACGCUAUUUUUCGUCUCGUUUACCCGGGAAAGAAACCAAAUUCGCAUUCUCCGUCCUUUGCCUCUCGUUUGAAAAGAUCUAUGAGAAGAGAAACCUAAUUUUCGGAGUUCUCCCUUUUAUAACGUCCGAUACUAGACGUUCCUUUGGAAGUAUUUAAAAGUCGCGUGCGCGGAGCUCGGAGAAAACGAGUCGCAGAAAUAUUCGGACACUUAGCGAGUCCGUAAAUACGCGGAUACGCGCGUACGUAUCGGCGCGAUCGAUAUUCGUUCGUCCGGAUGUCGAGAGAUAAUACCAUUCGUGACGUAUAGCGUAUUUACAUUAAUAUGGAAAUUGGCUAAACAUUAUGCUAUAUCGUGCAUUCUCCCGUACGUACCCAGGCGUGCACGUUUGACAGGACGUACGAUGGAUACAACUUAUUUUUACAUACGCCAUUGAUCGUUUCAUCGAGCGUUUUAAUGUACGGCAAAUAUUGAAAAGGUUCGUCGAUUUGGAAUGAAUGGGACGCAUCGAGAAGAAAAGAGAAAAAGAAGGAGAUUGAAAAUAAAUAAACAUAUCUAUGGUAAAAACGUUGCCGUCUAACUAACGGGCGGUCGACCGAUCGAAUUGCAUGUAAACACUCGCAUUGAUAGCCAUUCGUCACAUUUUUUUCUUCCCACUAUGCCACGUACAUAAAAUUUCGCCUGUUCUCUCUCUUUCUCUCUUCGUCUCCCUCCGUUUCCCCCCUUUACUCUUUCUCUCGCAUUCGUGGUGUGCACACCUGCUCGACGCGAGACAGUGGAUGGUUGAUAAACGAUCCGGGUCGCGUCCACCGCAUUCGGAAUUUACGGAAACACUGAAUUCGAUAGGCUCUCGAAAACCUUUUUGAGUUGAACGUAAUAAAAAUCGAGCAUUUAUUCCAUAUAUACCAACUGGUAGCAGUCAAAUUCGUACAAAGGCGACAGCGAUACAAGAUGACCCCUUCGAUACUAUUAAAAACAACGAUUCGAAUUUUUACGUAAAAUUUUACGCAAAUUAAUUCGAACGAAAUAUCGAGCUUAUCCAGUUUUUGUUUCGAAAAGAAAAAAAAGUCAACGUUAUAAAAUUCCUCUUACGGGCAUAUUCGUUUGUACACAACGACGAGUCACGUCCCGUUCUUGUUUUCUUUCGUUUCGUUUCGUUUUGUUUUCGUUUUUUUUCCCCCCUCUACGUUAUGCUAGCUUACGCGUUCGAACACGCACACAAGUGCGUCAUCGAAGGGAGGGCCGCUGAUAAAUAAUAAUAUUCCUUUCUCGUAACGCGACUCGACUUUGUGCCGUCAGUAUCUAUUCGGCGGUGCUACGAGUUGGAAUCGAAACUUUUCUCAGAUUCUUGGUCUAUCUCGUCGAAAUUUAUUCCAACGAUACUGCGAAUAUGCGAGGAAAGGUAAACUCACGCUUAGUCUUUGUUCGUGUUCUUCCAAAGAAGAAACGGUAGAGAAGGAGAGGAAUGCGGAGCUGACCGAAGCGUUAUAAUUCAAAGGAAAUGCGCUAGUUUCUUCGCACAGACGACGACGACGACGACGACGACGUUCUCCUCCUCCAUUCUGUACACAUCUACGAACAGACGAAUGAGUCGCAGAGUCACGGAAGACUACACUCUAGGAAGCUUGUUAAGGUCUCUAGUAUCCGACGACUACGACGACGACGACGAAGAAGAGGAGAAGAAGAGAAGAUGACGACACCAUCGUCCUCGACAGCUACUCGCCUCUCGUGGUAUAGUCGUACCGACGUCUAUAUUCCUUAUCUAUACGUGUACUAUACUUUUCUUCGUUCCUUUCUGUCUUUUCUUUUUUUUUUUCUUUUUUACUCACAAACACGCAAACACACGAUAACUACGUGUAUCGCGGAGAAAGCUUUUCUCCUCCUUCGCGACCUCUUUUCCGAUACUCUAUUGUAAAUCGUACUCUUUUUACCUUUGCUUUUCUCGUUUGCUCGAAUUCCCCUUCGACCAAAUCUCGACUCUAGCUCGGUUAAGUAAGAGAUAACUCUUGCGAGUCUCUCGAACACGUGGCCGCAUCGACCAACUUUUCAGUAAUCUCGAUCGAUCAUUCCGACUCGAAGAGACUAAUAAUACCUCUAUCUACAGCUAAUCAUGUUUCUCGUAUCAUCGAGAGUAUCGUUUACCACUCGUUUCAUUGUCUCGAUCGGUUGGCACGAAAUCAUCGAUGCGGAAGAAAGUCGGUGAAACGGAAGAGAGAGAAAGAGAGAAAUAGGGAGAGGGGAAGAGUGAGCGAGAGAGAGAGAGAGAGAGAGACGAGGGAAGGCUAGGAACGUAUUGAUUUUUCGACACACUCGCCCACGUAUCGUGGAAUUUUCUUCGGAUUAUGCUGCGAUCUCUUUCUCUCCCUCUCUGGAACGUCUUCCAGCUUCUUCUCUAUCCUUUGGCAGAUUGCGCGAAAAGCGACGACGUGUGAAGCGCGAUAAGAGAAACUACCGCUAUCGUUCUAUAUAUCGUUCGUUCCAUAUACGAUACGAUGCGAUAGGGAAGACGAAAGCGUUCCUUUUUCGUAGCGUAAUGAACUUUCAUAUCGUAUAUUAAAGAAAGGCUCUUUCGUCACCGGCCAUAAAGGCGGCUGUAUUUCCACCUUCCAAGGGGUUAAUUAAACUUUUUCUUUUAUC